rnacentral:rRNA from 1 species
GAUGAACGCUGGCGGCGUGCCUAAUACAUGCCAGUCGAGCGAACGGACGAGAAGCUUGCUCCUCUGAUGUUAGCGGCGGACGGGUGAGUAACACGUGGAUAACCUACCUAUAAGACUGGGAUAACUUCGGGAAACCGGAGCUAAUACCGGAUAAUAUUUUGAACCGCAUGGUUCAAAAGUGAAAGACGGUCUUGCUGUCACUUAUAGAUGGAUCCGCGCUGCAUUAGCUAGUUGGUAAGGUAACGGCUUACCAAGGCAACGAUGCAUAGCCGACCUGAGAGGGUGAUCGGCCACACUGGAACUGAGACACGGUCCAGACUCCUACGGGAGGCAGCAGUAGGGAAUCUUCCGCAAUGGGCGAAAGCCUGACGGAGCAACGCCGCGUGAGUGAUGAAGGUCUUCGGAUCGUAAAACUCUGUUAUUAGGGAAGAACAUAUGUGUAAGUAACUGUGCACAUCUUGACGGUACCUAAUCAGAAAGCCACGGCUAACUACGUG